GCGUCCGUAGCUCAGCCGGUAGAGCACUCGGCUUUUAACCGAUUGGUCGCGUGUUCGAGUCACGCCGGACGCA
rnacentral:tRNA from 2 species